GUUCACGGCGCAAUGGCAAAGACCAUUGGUUGGGGGGCUCCCACCCAGGGUUCAAAUCCUGGGUGCGGCACUUUAUUCUGAAUUUAUUCUAAAUUUAUUCUAGGAUUUUCCGGCGCUAUGCAUUAAGUGGUAGGCGACGUGCCCCUCGACAGCGAGGCGCCUGUGGUGACUUCGUGCAAACUCUUUUAAGUGGAGUAUCAAGAGAUAAUAACAGUAUGGAUGUGAGUAGAACUGUACGAAUUGGCCGAUGUUAAGAAGACGACCUUUGUUACAUGUACUCGUGGUACUUCCCGGUACUUAAUUUCCCUCUUGAAUUUUGCUGGCCGUUAG
rnacentral:lncRNA from 1 species